ACCACCUACGGAUUUAAAAGUCAUGGAGAGACUAAAUUGUCACGUCGAGAAAAUAUCCUUCCUCAGUGACAAGAUAGUAGAGAAACAGCACUGUUCUUCCUGAUUAUUAUUUACAUCUGGAUAAUCUCUGAGUUUCCUCCGUGUAGGCUUUUUACGCACAGCAGAAACGCGUGGAUUAAUACAAAUACUAAACUAUUUGGGGGAACAGAGAACGUGAAAAUGGACGAGAAGAAGAAAGCCGUGACAAUGGCGGAGAUCUUUGUGGGCUAUACUCGGUCUUGUCUCAGGAUGGACCUGAGCCCUAGGACCAUGCCUCAGGACUACCUGGCAUGAUGACUCCUUGCUGUCUCAGUCCACCUGGCCGUGCUGCUGCUCCAGUUUCAACUGUACUGCCUGCGGCUAUGGAACCCUGACCUGUUCACCGGACGUGCAACCUGCCCCAGACCUGCUGUUUUCAACUCUCUAGAGACAGCAGGAGCAGUAGAGAUACUCUCAAUGAUCGGCUAUGAAAAGCCAACUGACAUUUACUCCUGGGGUGCUGACCUGUUGCACCCUCGACAACUACUGUGAUUAUUAUUAUUUGACCAUGCUGGUCAUUUUUGAACAUCUUGGCCAUGUUCUGUUAUAAUCUCCACCUGGCACAGCCAGGAGAGGACUGCCCACCCCUCAUAGCCUGGCUUCUUCCUAGGUUGUGGCCUUUCUAGGGAGUUUUUCCUAGCCACUGUGCUUCUACACCUGCAUUGCUUGCUGUUUGGGGUUUUAGGCUGGGUUUCUGUACAGCAGUUUGAGAUGUCAGCUGAUCUAAGAAGGGCUAUAUAAAUACAUUUGAUACUUAACAUGUAGUAUACUUAACAUCUAGUAUACGUAACAUACUACCUGAGACAACUUUGCUAACUGUCUCUGUACUCUAU